GGACAAGCGGAGCUGGCAAUUCCAGCGAGAGCGACUGGAACUAUUCCGCCUCGAAAAUUUUUGCCGGAAAUUGGGUGUAAUCGGCCGGCUUCCCUGCAUGUGUACAGAUGAAAGUCGCUAAGAGCAACUACUUCUUUUCACAUUUUUGCUUUCAUUUCCUUUUCACGAUCAUUCUGCUGGCAUUGAAUCCAGUUCUGAGCAUCCGAUUCCCAGAUCGGAUCCAGGAGGUUCCACAGGAUGCCUCUAAUCAGCCAUUACAAACUGCAGUUUUUGCUCUCGGAAGCUUCUGGAGAUCGGAAGCGUCAUUUGGCUGCUUAAACGGCAUCGUAAGAACCACCGUCGGUUAUUCUGGUGGUUCAAAAGCCAAUCCUGA
rnacentral:misc_RNA from 1 species